rnacentral:snoRNA from 1 species
AAUGGUUGACUGUCGCCCAGGGCUUUGAGCUUGACCAUGGCCAUGGGUGAGGUUGGAGUUCAGAGCCAGUGGGGCCUUAACUCACUGCCCACUCCGGUGUGGGGACAUGAAAUCCAGGCCCAUUCGUGU